AACGAACGCUGGCGGCGUGCCUAACACAUGCAAGUCGUGCGAGAAAGUUCCUUCGGGAGCGAGUAAAGCGGCGCACGGGUGAGUAACACGUAGGUAACCUGCCCCCCAGUCUGGAACAACUAGAGGAAACUCUAGCUAAUGCCGGAUGAGACCACGAUCCCUUCGGGGGUUGCGGCCAAAGAUGGCCUCUACUUGUAAGCUAUCGCUGAGGGAUGGGCCUGCGGGCCAUUAGCUUGUUGGUGAGGUAACGGCUCACCAAGGCUGUGAUGGCUAGCUGGUCUGAGAGGAUGACCAGCCACACUGGGACUGAGACACGGCCCAGGA
rnacentral:rRNA from 1 species